rnacentral:lncRNA from 1 species
CGAAAGCCAACAGCUUUUAGUUCAUAAAAGCACACAAAUUCUAAACAGAGCCACUGGAAUCACAGCUCAUUUACCCGAUCAUGCCCAGCAUACAACUAUGAAGAUCUGUGGUUUCUAACUCACAAACUAAGGACAAGAUUCAAUGACUUAAAGGGAAGAAGGCGCAACUUACAGUGAUGAUGCUUUCCCUCGAUGAAGGCAGUGACGGACGUAAGGAUGAACAGAUCCAGUGACUUUUUUCUUUUUCUUUUUUUUUUUUUUUCCGCCUGAAGCUCUUCCUCUCCUCUGAUUUGUUCAGCC